rnacentral:rRNA from 1 species
UUCGCGGGGUAGGGGAGCGUUCUGUAAGUGGCUGAAGGUGUGCCGGGAGGCAUGCUGGACAUAUCAGAAGUGCGAAUGCUGACAUGAGUAACGACAAGAGGAGUGAAAAACUCCUCCGCCGGAAGACCAAGGGUUCCUAUCCCAUGUUAAUCAGGGUAGGGUGAGUCGACCCCUAAGGCGAGGCUGAAGAGCGUAGUCGAUGGGAAACGGGUUAAUAUUCCCGUACUCGGUAUGAAUGCGAUGGGGGGACGGAGCAGGCUAGGCAAGCAUGGCGUUGGUUGUCCAUGUGAAAGGCUGUAGGCUGGUGACUUAGGAAAAUCCGGGUUGCCAAGGCUGAGAGUCGAGACGAGCCACUAAGGUGGUGAAGUUGUUGAUGCCCUACUUCCAGGAAAAGCCUCUAAGCUUCAGUUCAUACUGAAUCGUACCCUAAACCGACACAGGUGGUCAGGUAGAGAAUACUAAGGCGCUUGAGAGAACUCGGGUGAAGGAACUAGGCAAAAUUGUACCGUAACUUCGGGAGAAGGUACGCUCUUGUUUGUGAAGGACUUGCUCUGUAAGCAAACGAGAGCCGCAGUGACCAGGUGGCUGGGACUGUUUAUUAAAAACACAGCACUGUGCAAAAUCGUAAGAUGACGUAUACGGUGUGACACCUGCCCGGUGCCGGAAGGUUAAUUGAUGGGGUUAGCUUAGGCGAAGCUCUUGAUCGAAGCCCCGGUAAACGGCGGCCGUAACUAUAACGGUCCUAAGGUAGCGAAAUUCCUUGUCGGGUAAGUUCCGACCUGCACGAAUGGUGUAACCAUGGCCACGCUGUCUCCACCCGAGACUCAGUGAAAUUGAAAUCGCAGUGAAGAUGCUGUGUACCCGCGGCUAGACGGAAAGACCCCGUGAACCUUUACUACAGCUUGGCACUGAACAUUGACCCUACAUGUGUAGGAUAGGUGGGAGGCUUUGAAGCAGAGACGCUAGUUUCUGUGGAGCCGACCUUGAAAUACCACCCUUGUAGUGUUGAUGUUCUAACUUAGGCCCCUGAAUCGGGGUUGAGGACAGUGCCUGGUGGGUAGUUUGACUGGGGCGGUCUCCUCCCAAAGAGUAACGGAGGAGCACGAAGGUUUGCUAAGUACGGUCGGACAUCGUACGGUUAGUGUAAUGGUAGAAGCAAGCUUAACUGCGAGACAGACACGUCGAGCAGGUACGAAAGUAGGUCAUAGUGAUCCGGUGGUUCUGAAUGGAAGGGCCAUCGCUCAACGGAUAAAAGGUACUCCGGGGAUAACAGGCUGAUACCGCCCAAGAGUUCAUAUCGACGGCGGUGUUUGGCACCUCGAUGUCGGCUCAUCACAUCCUGGGGCUGAAGUCGGUCCCAAGGGUAUGGCUGUUCGCCAUUUAAAGUGGUACGCGAGCUGGGUUUAGAACGUCGUGAGACAGUUCGGUCCCUAUCUGCCGUGGGCGUUUGAGAAUUGAGAGGGGCUGCUCCUAGUACGAGAGGACCGGAGUGGACGAACCGCUGGUGUUCGGGUUGUGAUGCCAAUUGCAUUGCCCGGUAGCUACGUUCGGAACUGAUAACCGCUGAAAGCAUCUAAGCGGGAAGCAGGCCUCGAGAUGAGUUCUCACUUUGACUUAGAGUCAACUGAAGGGCCGUUGAAGACUACAACGUUGAUAGGCGAGAUGUGGAAGUGCUGUGAGGCAUUAAGCUAACUCGUACUAAUUACCCGUGAGGCUUAACCAUACAACGCCAAAGUGGUUU